rnacentral:rRNA from 1 species
AACGAACGCUGGCGGCAGGCUUAACACAUGCAAGUCGAACGAUCUCUUCGGAGGUAGUGGCAGACGGGUGAGUAACACGUGGGAACGUACCUUUCAGUCAGGAAUAACUCAUGGAAACGUGAGCUAAUACCCGAUACGCCCUUUUGGGGAAAGAUUUAUCGCUGAAAGAUCGGCCCGCGUCUGAUUAGCUAGUUGGUGGGGUAAUGGCCUACCAAGGCGACGAUCAGUAGCUGGUCUGAGAGGAUGAUCAGCCACACUGGGACUGAGACACGGCCCAGACUCCUACGGGAGGCAGCAGUGGGGAAUAUUGGACAAUGGGCGCAAGCCUGAUCGAGCCAUGCCGCGUGAGUGAUGACGGCCGUAGGGUUGUAAAGCUCUUUCGACGGGGACGAUAAUGACGGUACCCGUAGAAGAAGCCCCGGCUAACUUCGUGCCAGCCGCCGCGGUAAUAC